rnacentral:rRNA from 1 species
UACAGAGGGUGCGAGCGUUGUCCGGAAUCACUGGGCGUAAAGGGCGCGUAGGCGGCUUGAUAAGCGUGCGGUGAAAGCCCGGGGCUCAACCCCGGGUCGGCCGUGCGAACUGUCGAGCUGGAGCACUGUAGAGGCAGGUGGAAUUCCGGGUGUAGCGGUGGAAUGCGUAGAGAUCCGGAAGAACACCGGUGGCGAAGGCGGCUCACUGGCCCGUAACUGACGCUCAUGCACGACAGCGUGGGGAUCAAACAGG